GUCGAGAAUAAUUCACAAUGGGGGAAACCCUGAUGGUGCAACGCCGCGUGGAGGAUGAAGGUCUUCGGAUUGUAAACUCCUGUCAUCUGGGAGUAAGACCUGACGGUGAAUAGCCGGCAGGGUUGAUAGUACCAGAAGAGGAAGGGACGGCUAACUUCGUGCCAGCAGCCGCGGUAAUACGAAGGUCCCAAGCGUUGUUCGGAAUCACUGGGCGUAAAGGGAGUGUAGGCGGCGUGGUAAGUCAGAUGUGAAAUCCCGGGGCUCCACCCCGGAACGGCAUCCGAUACUGCCAUGCUUGAGGGUUGGAGAGGUAGCUGGAAUUCUCGGUGUAGCAGUGAAAUGCGUGGCGAUCGAGAGGAACACUCGUGGCGAAGGCGAGCUACUGGACAACAUCUGACGCUGAGGCUCGAAGGCCAGGGGAGCAAAAGGGAUUAGAUACCCCUGUAGUCC
rnacentral:rRNA from 1 species